rnacentral:rRNA from 1 species
AUGAUGUUCCGUGCAUCUGGAUUGCAUUUAACUCACAAUAAUAGAUGGAGGCAUAUAGGAAAUUUGGGAUUGCCAAUAAUUACAUCGUCUUCCAAAAUCUUACCGACAACUAGAAUGGCUCUUUGUAUACCUUUAGCAAUGAUUUAUCUCAUGGAUUUUUAUCAUCUUUGUCCACUCCGUCUGCCCUUAGGAUGGCUCGUUUUUGCGCUAUUUGCUAUAAUUCCUCCUGCUUGCUGCCUGUUGCCAACAGUGGUGUGCUUGAAUUGGGAGGCGGAGGUAGAGAGUGGACACCAAAGAAGAAGAAUUUAA